rnacentral:rRNA from 1 species
UAAAGUUGUUGCGGUUAAAAAGCUCGUAGUUGAAACUGUGUCCUGCGGCGUCGGUCUACCGAUUGCGGUACGACAGGCGCGUCUGCGGGGCUUCUCGCCGGUGCGUCCACCGCCGGCGUGCGUCGGUCGGUCCACCGGGCCGGCCGCGCACCGAGGCGGACCGUCGCGGCCGUUUACUUUGAACAAAUUAGAGUGCUCAAAGCGGGCUAACACUUGCCUGAAUAUUGUACGCAUGGAAUAAUGGAAUAGGACCUCGGUUCUGUUUUGUUGGCUCUCUGACACCGGAGGUAAUGAUUAAUAGGGACAACUGGGGGCAUUCGUAUUGCGACGUUAGAGGUGAAAUUCUUGGAUCGUCGCAAGACGGACUAAAGCGAAAGCAUUUGCCAAAGGUGUUUUCAUUAAUCAAGAACGAAAGUUAGAGGUUCGAAGGCGAUUAGAUACCGCUGUAGUUCUAACCAUAAAUGAUGCCAGCCAGCGAUCCGCCGAAGUUUCAUAAUUUUAACUCGGUGGGCAGCUCCCGGGAAACCAAAGCUUUC